GACGAACGCUGGCGGCGUGCUUAACACAUGCAAGUCGAACGGAAAGGCCCUGCUUUUGUGGGGUGCUCGAGUGGCGAACGGGUGAGUAACACGUGAGUAACCUGCCCUUGACUUUGGGAUAACUUCAGGAAACUGGGGCUAAUACCGGAUAGGAGCUCCUGCUGCAUGGUGGGGGUUGGAAAGUUUCGGCGGUUGGGGAUGGACUCGCGGCUUAUCAGCUUGUUGGUGGGGUAGUGGCUUACCAAGGCUUUGACGGGUAGCCGGCCUGAGAGGGUGACCGGCCACAUUGGGACUGAGCUACGGCCCAGACUCCUACGGGAGGCAGCAGUGGGGAAUAUUGCACAAUGGGCGGCAGCCUGAUGCAGCAACGCCGCGUGCGGGAUGACGGCCUUCGGGUUGUAAACCGCUUUCGCCUGUGACGAAGCGUGAGUGACGGUAAUGGGUAAAGAAGCACCGGCUAACUACGUG
rnacentral:rRNA from 1 species